GCACGAGUGAGCCUGGUACACUUCUGGGCAGGCAGAAGGAAGGCAGUUAGGCUGUUAGGAAGGCAGUUAGGCUGCAGUGAAUUCUACAAAGAGGCUAUGGGAAAGAAACCUGGAAAGGUAGGGAGUACCCUUGGCUGUGUACAUUUGAGUAAAGAGAGCACUAUAAAAUCAAAAACCAAUGAAAUGGUUUCCAGAACACAGAACUAUUAAGCUUAAGAAAAGGACAGAAGGAACUGAAGAGAGAGGAACUGUUUUGGAGCAUCACACUUCCACCUCAGAAGAAAUAAGGAAGGAAGGAGGAGGGUGUUCCCACGGCUCUUCAACCAGGCCGGCUCUUCAGCCUACAUCCCCAUCUCAUCAAGUAAAAGGGAUUUUUCAACUGGACCAACCAGAUGGUUUAACAGUGCACUCCCACACCAUUCAACUACGCAAGGGAGAUACACUUAACAUAUGCAGUCGUAUAACACCUACUAACAUUUUCAAACAUUAAACCUUUAAAAAAGAGCUCUAAAGAAAUAGAAGCUUGAAGUAUCAUCUCUCAAGUAUAUAGACACUACUUCAUGGUGUGGUAAUAUAUGCAUAUAGAAGCUAGUAAACACCUCCAGGAGAUGCAAAAGGAAUUAGAACUGCCACAAGGUGCAAGCAAAACCUUGAGCUUCUUUAAGAUAUGAAGACUUCAAAGUUAUUUAUCCAAACCAACCUGAUCAUUUCUUAAGAGUGAAUAUACCUUGGAAGACGUGUCCUGCCUUUAGUAGCGUCACAAUGGAUUACAUCCUCUAUAAAGCAGUCUGGGAGGCUAACAUCUGCCACAAGACAAAUAUGGUGCCUGCCCCCGUGGAGCUCAUAUUCGAAUGGAGAAAAUGUCAACAAGUAUCCCACGGAGUGAACACUUCAAAAGGAGAAGCACAGGUGAGAAAAUCGAAUUUGGACACCGUUGAGGAGACUAUUGCAGUCAUCCAAGCUCAAGAUGGUGGAGCUUCAUCCUUGAGAAUAACCAAUGGGGAUAGAUUUAAGAGACACUUAGAGUCUGCAGCCAACAGGGCUGAAUGAGCAGAAAGUUAUGAUUCAGAAGAUCAUCUAAAAUUGAACAGCUGCCACUACUGGCAGUAAGUCUACUGCCAUUUGGUAGAUAACCUUCUUAUCACACAGAAAAAUAUCAGUACAGACAAAUAGACCGCAAAGAAAAUGAGACCAUCAGCAAAGAAGAUAAAGAAGUUUGUACAAAGCAACUUUUUAUAAAUGGAUGGCUGUCAGGCAAAAAUAAAUUUCCUGUGGACAAGACCAAGAGCAAGGCAAGAGGAAAAUAAACAUGUUUAAACUAUUGGAGAGUCCAUAAUUUAAAUAUAAACUCUUCUGUUGAGUGGUAGUGUGCACCGAAUCAGUUCCAGGGAUGGCAAUAAAUGUUACGCUGCAUUUUAGGAAGUAUGGGAGAGGAAGCUGGGGCAAGAGGAACUAAUGCAUGAUUAAUGCUAGAUAUUUGGAAUUGCCUAGAGCAAAGGAGGUUGGGGGCUGCAGAAAACUACAUCUUUGAAGAUUUAAUAGAUUCCUCAUUCUAUGUCAGUCAGCCCACUUAGAUUUGUCACAUGUUAGCUCUGUUUUUCUUUACAUUUAGUAUUUUUAGUAAUGGCUUUUACAUUUUUAAAAAUCAGGUUGAAUUUAAGCUAAUGGACAAUAAAACUUCAGGGUUAGAGAUACUGUUUUUAUUCAGCAACUAGAUGAGGAUCUGCAAUGAAUGAGAAUUUGGAAAUUGAUGUUUUUAUAGUGACACAAGCUGCAUCACUAUGAGAUGUUCUUAGAGAGGAAAUAUUUGAAAUUGUUAAUGUUUGCAUUUUAAAUUGGAAUUGAGAAAUGGGCAAAUGAAGACAUAGCUCAAUGGUCAAAUUAAACAUUACUUGUUAUUCUAAAUGCAAGAUUCUAGUUAAAUUAGAAGGGUGGAAAAGUGUUGUUAAUUAUUUUUUCUUCAUAGGAAUGUAAAAUCAACUAUAAAAAAUUAAUGCAUGAGACCCAGGGAUUAGCAUUACAGCAAAUUCAAUGAUUUUUGCAAUCCAUGCCUUUACAAAGAAUGUGUGAUUACUUUGUCUAGACUUUGUAGCACACUGUAAUAAAUAGAGACUGACAAUAUCAAUAUAUUUCAUAAAUACAUGACUGGAAUUUACAGUAUUUCUGAUGAUUAAUAUUUUCUCAACUACCCUAGGUAAAGAAAUGUGUACAUCUUAUAAAGACAAAUCCAUUGAUAAUGCCAUUUGCUAGCAGACAAAAAAAUAGUAAUGGCAUUUAUUUCUCUGAAUAUAUUCAUCUUCUCAAGUAAACCUGGGAAAUCUGAACUGAAAUCCAUAGAUAAUUCAUUAGCUUCAGUUCAUGGGUUUGUGUUCUUGGAGUCUUCUCAUACAUAUAAUAUCCUAGCACAGUUUUUGUAAGAUU